CGCUGGCGGCAUGCCUUACACAUGCAAGUCGAACGGCAGCACGGGAGCAAUCCUGGUGGCGAGUGGCGAACGGGUGAGUAAUAUAUCGGAACGUGCCCGGUCGUGGGGGAUAACGUAGCGAAAGCUACGCUAAUACCGCAUACGAUCUACGGAUGAAAGCGGGGGAUCGCAAGACCUCGCGCGAUUGGAGCGGCCGAUAUCAGAUUAGGUAGUUGGUGAGGUAAAGGCUCACCAAGCCGACGAUCUGUAGCUGGUCUGAGAGGACGACCAGCCACACUGGGACUGAGACACGGCCCAGACUCCUACGGGAGGCAGCAGUGGGGAAUUUUGGACAAUGGGCGCAAGCCUGAUCCAGCAAUGCCGCGUGCAGGAUGAAGGCCUUCGGGUUGUAAACUGCUUUUGUACGGAACGAAACGGUGAGCUCUAAUACAGUUUGCUAAUGACGGUACCGUAAGAAUAAGCACCGGCUAACUACGUG
rnacentral:rRNA from 1 species